UGAGGAAUAUUGGACAAUGGAGGCAACUCUGAUCCAGCCAUGCCGCGUGAAGGACUAAGGCCCUAUGGGUCGUAAACUUCUUUUGACGCAGAGCAAUAAGGAUUACGUGUAGUCUGAUGAGAGUAUGCGUCGAAUAAGCAUCGGCUAACUCCGUGCCAGCAGCCGCGGUAAUACGGAGGAUGCAAGCGUUAUCCGGAUUUAUUGGGUUUAAAGGGUGCGUAGGCUGUUCUGCAGGUCAGCGGUGAAAGCCCGGGGCUCAACCCCGGAAAUGCCGUUGAUACUGCGGGGCUGGAAUACGGAUGCCGUGGGAGGAAUGAGUAGUGUAGCGGUGAAAUGCAUAGAUAUUACUCAGAACACCGAUUGCGAAGGCAUCUCACGAAUCCGUUAUUGACGCUGAGG
rnacentral:rRNA from 1 species